AACGCACAUUGCGCUCCUGGGUAUUCCUGGGAGCAUGCCCGUUUGAGAAUCAGUGAAAACCUCAACACCUUCUGGGUUUCCUAGUGGGACACAGGUGGCUGUUGGACUUGGGUCAUUUGCGAAGAGGUGUGGAUACUGGUUGACGUCGGAACCUUGGGGGGAAGAUGACGUCGACAGCAUGGCCCCGGGGGGGUCAGAGAGGUAUCCCCAUGGGGAAAAGCACCGCACAGCAAUGAUCUUAAAUUCAAUGUCCGCUGCUCCUUCGUAAGUAGGUGCAAUGGCCCGAGUGCUGGAAUGGUCUUUUGGCUUUUUUAACUCUCGAGUCAGCACUUGCAGACGAUGUGAUGCUGGUGUGAACUGUACUGAUUGUAAGGAGAUGCGGUGCCGCAAGGUUCCCUCUCUUAACUUGGUCUCAAAUCGGGUAGGAGAACCCGCUGAACUUAA
rnacentral:misc_RNA from 1 species